rnacentral:lncRNA from 1 species
CCAGCUUCCUAGGUGUGGAAACUGAAGGACCAAGAGAUUAAACAGUGGUGCAAAAGUGGUAAGAAUUCAGCAUUCUCCUCGACAAGUGGACGAGCAUCUACUGUGCUUUCACAGCGGCUAUCACUAUUGCCAGCAGCAAGACUGUCAGCUCGGCGCCCUCGUCUGGAAUCUCUGAGGACAAAUGGGAAUUCUCACUGAUUUCUAGGACUACCCUGGGGCAGGCACCCUGCACAGCAAUACACACUGAACAAUGUCGAGUUUCUGCUGAAUAGACUUCCUACGUUGCUCUGGAAUUCGAAGUUGGCCUAACUGAGGUCUCCAGUUACAGAAAACACUGGCUCUGUAUCCUGGGCUUUGAGAAAACUUAUCAGGCUGUCACACUUACCAUCCCUUCAGUCUGCUUGUCAGGUUCCUUAAGGACGCAUAUCUCAAAUGUAUGGCAUCUACCUCUACCUGGGUCACAACCAAGUGGGUUUCUACUAGAUCGGUGUUCCUUGACAGCCAACAAGGGAGCUGACACUGCCCUCCUAAGUUCUGAUCUUGCUCCUGUUCAACUGGAACUUGAUGGAUCCCAUGUGGUUUCCCCCAUCCUGACGCUGUGGCUCAGACACUCUCCCUAAGCUGGUCCUUCCCUCCAAAUCCUGCCUUAAACACACUCAGAAGGUAGAAAACACUUCAGCAGCAAAGUCCUCUUCCCAAGCCAACAGUUGUGUUCUUCCAAUCACAUGAUCUUACCUUUUCAAUAAAAGGCAAAACAAACC